UCCAAAAAAAUUAGAGUGCCAUGUAGUUUCCAUUUGAAUUAUAGGGCUGUUUUUUGAAUGAUAUCAUAUAGGUUGUUGCAUCAUGCACUUGCAUAGGGGAUAAUGAUGAUCAUAGCCUUGUAAAUUUGCAAUGUUCACUAGAUAGUUUUAAUGCCUUUGUUGUUAGUUGUCUAGUUCUUAACCGAUUGAACUUGAAGUAAGACCGCACCAUCUUUUGAAUUCAUAUACUUGACCUUCCUUAGUCGAAACUCGCUGUGAUUUGAAGCUAUUCCCUAUCAAUUUAAACCAUAAUUUGACUUGUAAUUAUCAUACUAUGCAUUGCUUGUUAAACUCAUGGUUACCCUAAAAAUAUUUGGAUCUUCUUAUUCAUUUCACCACACUUGUUGAUCCAAAUAGCUGACUCUCAUCUUUAGAGCAGUUCUCCCACACCCUAACCUAAGCCUUCUUUCAAGCCAUAUAUCACUUGUGAGUGUUUGUGAGGUCUUAUUUCGAUUAAGCUUGGUAGAAAGUGUUAGGUUUGUAACGACAAAGAUAGUAUCUCAUGUAGUUCUAGUUCGCGUUAUCCAGACUAGAUAGGAUUAGGUGGGUACUUAUACUAUGGGUUGGGAAGAGUUUAAAAGAGAAAAAGGGUUGAAUUCAUUGUUUACAAGAAAAGGGAAAAGAAUUCUAGGAGAAGUAAGCUAAAGAAGUUAGAAAAGUCUAGUAAAGGGUUUGAGAUUGUUAAAGAAAAAGAUUGGGUUCUAGUUAGGUAAUGAAGAAGGGUAAAAAGCCCUAAGUUUAAAGAGAUUAAAAUCAGAACCUUAGUGCUAAUGAAAGUCAAACCCGCUAGAAGUCUCA
rnacentral:sRNA from 1 species